rnacentral:rRNA from 1 species
GUCGAGGAUCUUUGGCAAUGGACGCAAGUCUGACCAAGCGACGCCGCGUGUGCGAUGAAGGCCUUCGGGUUGUAAAGCACUGUCGAGGGGGAGGAAGCCGCAAGGUUGACCUAUCCCUGGAGGAAGCACGGGCUAAGUUCGUGCCAGCAGCCGCGGUAAGACGAACCGUGCGAACGUUGUUCGGAAUCACUGGGCUUAAAGGGCGCGUAGGCGGGUGGGCAAGUCUGCGGUGAAAUCCUCCAGCUUAACUGGAGAAGUGCCGUGGAUACUGCUUACCUGGAGGAGGGUAGGGGCAUCUGGAACGUUGGGUGGAGCGGUGAAAUGCGUUGAUAUCCAACGGAACUCCGAUGGCGAAGGCAAGGUGCUGGACCCUUUCUGACGCUGAGGCGCGAAAGCCAGGGGAGCGAACGGGAUUAGAUACCCCGGUAGUCC